AUCGCUUCUCGGCCUUUUGGCUAAGAUCAAAGUGUAGUAUCUGUUCUUAUCAGUUUAAUAUCUGAUACGUCCCCUAUCUGGGGACCAUAUAUUAAAUGGAUUUUUGGAACAGGGAGAUGGAAGAGAGCUUGCUCUGUCCACUCCACGCAUCGACCUGGUAUUGCAGUACCUCCAGGACCGGUGCACCUCUC
rnacentral:snRNA from 1 species